AAUGGAACAAUGUAGGCAAGGGAAGUUGGGAAAAUGGAUCUGUAACUUCGGGAAAAGGAUUGUCUCUAAGGACUGGGCUAGGGGGUCCCGGCCCCGAACCCAUCGGUUGUCGACGGAUUGCUCGAGCUGCUCACGCGGCGAGAGCAUGUCGCCGCGUGCCAGCCGGGUGCAGACCGGGAAUCGCCCCUUCGGGGUUUUUCAUUGAGCAUGAAACAGUCGACUCAGAACUGGUACGGACAAGGGGAAUCCGACUGUUUAAUUAAAACAACGCAUUGCGAUUGUUCUCAUGGAUGCUGACGCAAUGUGAUUUCUGCCUAGUGCUUUGAAUCUCAAAGUGAAGAAAUUCAACCAAGUGCGGGUAAAUGGCGGGAGUAACUAUGACACUCUUAAGGUAGCCAAAUGCCUUGUCAUCUAAUUAGUGACACGCAUAAAUGAAACCACAGCCAUGGAACGGGCUUGGCGGAAUCAGUGGGGAAAGAAGACCAUGUUGUGCUUGACUCUAGUCUGACUUUGUGAAAUGACUUGAGAGGUGUAGGAUAAGUUGGAGCCCUCACGGGCGCAAGUGAAAUACCACUUCUUUUAACAUUAUUUUACUUAUUCCGAGGGUUGGAAGCGGGGCAUGUCCCCUCCUUUUGGCUCCAAGGCUCGGUUUUAUCGGGCCGAUCCGGGUGGAAGACAUUGUCAGGUGGGGAGUUUGGCUGGGGCGGCACAUCAGUUUAAAGAUAAUGCAAGUGUCCUAAGAUGAGCUCAACGAGAAUAGAAAUCUCGUGCGGAAGAAAAGCGUAAAAGCUCGUUGGAUUCUGAUUUCCAGUACGAAUAUGAACCGUGAAAGCAUGGCCUGUCGAUCCUUUAGAUAUUCGAAGUAUGAAGCUAGAGGUGUCAGAAAAGUUACCAUAGGGAUAACUGGCUUGUGGCAGCCAAGCAUUUAUAGCGGUGUCGCUUUUUGAUCCUUCGAUGCCGGCCCUUCCUAUCAUUGUGAAGCAGAAUUCACCAAGUGUUGGAUUGUUCACCCACCAAUAGGGAACGUGAGCUGGGUUUAGACCGUCGUGAGACACAUUAAUUUUACCCUACUGAUGACAGUGUCGCGAUAAUUAUUCAACCUAGUAUGAGAGGAACCGUUGAUUCACACAAUUGGUCAUCGCACUUGGUUGAAAAGCCAGUGGCGCAAAGCUACUGUGUGACGAAUUAUUACUGAAUGCCUUAAGUCAGAAUCCAAGCUAGCAUGCGACGCCUGCGCCCGCCUCCCGCCCCGACUCAUGUUAGCGGCGCUUGCGCCCCCAAGGGAAUGUGCCAUUGGCUAAGCCGGUCCGGCCGACGUGCCGCGGCCGGCCGCCUUGAGGCUCCCUUCCCAAUGGGCGGUGGGCUGAAUCCUUUGCAGACAACUUAAAUACGUGACAGGGCAUUGUAAGUGGCAGAGUGGCCUUGCUGCCACGAUCCACUGAGAUCCACCCCCAUGUCGCAUGGAUUC
rfam:Triticum aestivum genome assembly, contig: Triticum_aestivum_CS42_TGACv1_scaffold_513523_6BS